rnacentral:rRNA from 1 species
CACAUGCNAGUCGAGCGGAAACGAGUUAACUGACCCUUCGGGUGACGUUAACGGCGUCGAGCGGCGGACGGGUGAGUAAUGCCUGGGAAUAUGCCUUGAUGUGGGGGAUAACCAUUGGAAACGAUGGCUAAUACCGCAUAAUGCCUUCGGGCCAAAGAGGGGGAUCUUCGGACCUCUCGCGUCAAGAUUAGCCCAGGUGGGAUUAGCUAGUUGGUGAGGUAAUGGCUCACCAAGGCGACGAUCCCUAGCUGGUCUGAGAGGAUGAUCAGCCACACUGGAACUGAGACACGGUCCAGACUCCUACGGGAGGCAGCAGUGGGGAAUAUUGCACAAUGGGCGCAAGCCUGAUGCAGCCAUGCCGCGUGUGUGAAGAAGGCCUUCGGGUUGUAAAGCACUUUCAGUCGUGAGGAAGGUGGUGUAGUUAAUAGCUGCAUCAUUUGACGUUAGCGACAGAAGAAGCACCGGCUAACUCCGUGCCAGCAGCCGCGGUAAUACGGAGGGUGCGAGCGUUAAUCGGAAUUACUGGGCGUAAAGCGCAUGCAGGUGGUUAGUUAAGUCAGAUGUGAAAGCCCNGGGGCUCA